ensembl:lncRNA
GACCAGGGUAAUAUAAUGACAGUAGAGGAUAGAUCAGGGUAAUAUAAUGACAGUAGAUGGUAGACCAGGGUAAUAUAAUGACAGUAGAUGGUAGAACAGGGUAAUAUAAUGACAGUAGAUGGUAGACCAGGGUAAUAUAAUGACAGUAGAUGGAAGACCAGGGUAAUAUAAUGACAGUAGAUGGGAGACUGGGGUAAUAUAAUGACAGUAGAUGGUAGACCAGGGUAAUAUAAUGACAGUAGAUGGUAGAACAGGGCAAUACAAUGACAGUAGAUUUUAGACCAGGGUAAUAUAAUGACAGUAGAUGGUAGACUAGGGUAAUACAAGGUUAAUUAAUGACAGUAGAUGGUAGACCAGGGUAAUAUAUUGACAGUAGAUGGUAGACCAGGGUAAUAUAAUGACAGUAGAUGGUAGACCAGUGUAAUAGAAUGACAGUAGAUGGUAGACCAGGGUAAUAUAAUGACAGUAGAUGGUAGACCAGGGUAAUAUAAUGACAGUAGAUGGUAGACCAGGG